CUGUGGCAAGACUACAAUAUUAUUAUAUAUACUUGCAAUUACUGGCAAGUGGCAUAUCAGUGAUCUGUGGUGUCGAAAAAGAAUUUAAUGAUUAUAUUUAAAAUUUUAUUACAAAAUAAAAUAAAUAUUGCUAUACGUGGUCUGCGAGUUACUGAUUCUUACGCUAUUUUUUACUAAGUAUUAAGUAAAAUGUAUUUUCAAUUAAUAAUUGUAAUAUUUUCUUUUCUAACAAUAAGUAAUGUUGAAGCUUCGCAAGGAUACGAUUUUGGCGACUUUCUAGCUACUAUAUUGGGAAUAGGCAUUUCUGUUAUCGGAAUUCUGGCCUGUUUGGGCAACUAUGCUAGACAAAGAGCACGAAACGAGUUUAUUUAAAGUUAAUGAUGUAUAUUUUCUCUGUAAAUUAUUACAGGAUUCAUCAAAAAAUAUUAACAGCCUACAAGUAAAUUUAUGAAUACAUAUUGUUAAAAUAAUCAAAUAUUUGUUAUCUUGCCGUACCAUUUUGCACCUAUAUGUGUAAAUAUAUGUAAGUGGUAAUCUAAGAAACUGUUUGAAUUAAAAUGUAAUCAUUAUUUUGAAUAUUUCUUAUAAAGUGCUAUUUUCAUU